rnacentral:rRNA from 1 species
GGGCCUCAAAUCAGACAAGAGUACC